rnacentral:rRNA from 1 species
GACGGGCGAUGCAAGCGUUAUCCGGAAUCACUGGGCGUAAAGCGUCUGUAGGUGGUGAUGCAAGUCACUGGUGCAAAACUCUGGCUCAACCGGAGGAACGCCAGUGAAACUGCAUGACUAGAGUGUGGGAGAGGUAGAAGGAAUUCCCUGAGUAGCGGUGAAAUGCGUAGAUACAGGGAAGAACACCGGAGGCGAAAGCGUUCUACUGGAACACAACUGACACUGAGAGACGAAAGCUCGGGGAGCGAAUGGG